CCUACGGGAGGCUGCAGUGAGGAAUAUUGGUCAAUGGCCGUAAGGCUGAACCAGCCAAGUCGCGUGAAGGAAGAAGGAUCGAUGGUUUGUAAACUUCUUUUAUAGGGGAAUAAAGGUAUCCACGUGUGGAUAUUUGCAUGUACCCUAUGAAUAAGCAUCGGCUAACUCCGUGCCAGCAGCCGCGGUAAUACGGAGGAUGCGAGCGUUAUCCGGAUUUAUUGGGUUUAAAGGGUGCGUAGGUUGUUUUUUAAGUCAGCGGUAAAAUUGAGAGGCUCAACCUCUUCGAGCCGUUGAAACUGGUUUUCUUGAGUGAGUGAGAAGUAUGCGGAAUGCGUGGUGUAGCGGUGAAAUGCAUAGAUAUCACGCAGAACUCCGAUUGCGAAGGCAGCAUACCGGCGCUCAACUGACGCUCAUGCACGAAAGUGUGGGUAUCGAACAGGAUUAGAUACCCCAGUAGUC
rnacentral:rRNA from 1 species